rnacentral:rRNA from 1 species
CCUACGGGAGGCAGCAGUGGGGAAUAUUGGGCAAUGGAGGAAACUCUGACCCAGCAAUGCCGCGUGAAUGAAGAAGGUCUUCGGAUUGUAAAGUUCUUUAGUCAGGGAAGAAGUCAAUGACGGUACCUGAAGAAUAAGCUCCGGCUAACUACGUGCCAGCAGCCGCGGUAAUACGUAGGGAGCAAGCGUUGUUCGGAAUGACUGGGCGUAAAGGGUGCGCAGGCGGUUGAGUAAGACAGAUGUGAAAUCCCCGAGCUUAACUCGGGAAUGGCAUAUGUGACUGCUCGACUAGAGUGUGUCAGAGGGAGGUGGAAUUCCACGUGUAGCAGUGAAAUGCGUAGAUAUGUGGAAGAACACCGAUGGCGAAGGCAGCCUCCUGGGACAUAACUGACGCUCAGGCACGAAAGCGUGGGGAGCAAACAGGAUUAGAUACCCCAGUAGUC